UACGUAGGGCGCAAGCGUUAUCCGGAAUUAUUGGGCGUAAAGAGCUCGUAGGCGGUUUGUCGCGUCUGCCGUGAAAGUCCGGGGCUCAACUCCGGAUCUGCGGUGGGUACGGGCAGACUAGAGUGAUGUAGGGGAGACUGGAAUUCCUGGUGUAGCGGUGAAAUGCGCAGAUAUCAGGAGGAACACCGGUGGCGAAGGCGGCAUCCUGGACCGGCAUUGACGCUGAGGAGCGAAAGCCAGGGGAGCAAACGGG
rnacentral:rRNA from 1 species